rnacentral:rRNA from 1 species
AGUCGAGGGGUAGAGGAAGCUUGCUUCCUUGAGACCGGCGCACGGGUGCGUAACGCGUAUGCAAUCUACCUUUUACAGGGGAAUAGCCCAGAGAAAUUUGGAUUAAUGCCCCAUAGUGUAAUUGAAUGGCAUCAUUUGAUUACUAAAGUUCCAACGGUAAAAGAUGAGCAUGCGUCCUAUUAGCUAGUUGGUGUGGUAACGGCACACCAAGGCAACGAUAGGUAGGGGUCCUGAGAGGGAGAUCCCCCACACUGGUACUGAGACACGGACCAGACUCCUACGGGAGGCAGCAGUGAGGAAUAUUGGACAAUGGGCGCAAGCCUGAUCCAGCCAUGCCGCGUGCAGGAAGAAGCAUCUAUGGUGUGUAAACUGCUUUUGUACGGGAAGAAACACUCCUACGUGUAGGAGCUUGACGGUACCGUAAGAAUAAGGAUCGGCUAACUCCGUGCCAGCAGCCGCGGUAAUACGGAGGAUCCAAGCGUUAUCCGGAAUCAUUGGGUUUAAAGGGUCCGUAGGCGGUUUAAUAAGUCAGUGGUGAAAUCUGGUCGCUCAACGAUCAAACGGCCAUUGAUACUGUUAGACUUGAAUUACUAGGAAGUAACUAGAAUAUGUAGUGUAGCGGUGAAAUGCUUAGAUAUUACAUGGAAUACCAAUUGCGAAGGCAGGUUACUACUAGUGGAUUGACGCUGAUGGACGAAAGCGUGGGGAGCGAACAGGAUUAGAUACCCUGGUAGUCCACGCCGUANACGAUGGAUACUAGCUGUUGGGAGCAAUCUCAGUGGCUAAGCGAAAGUGAUAAGUAUCCCACCUGGGGAGUACGUUCGCAAGAA